rnacentral:misc_RNA from 1 species
UAAUGCUAAAGAACAAAGAAG